rnacentral:misc_RNA from 1 species
CGGCCCCAGGGCCGGCAGCC